AGCGAACGCUGGCGGCAGGCCUAACACAUGCAAGUCGAACGGCAGCACAGUAAGAGCUUGCUCUUACGGGCGGCGAGUGGCGGACGGGUGAGGAAUACAUCGGAAUCUACUUUUUCGUGGGGGAUAACGUAGGGAAACUUACGCUAAUACCGCAUACGACCUACGGGUGAAAGCAGGGGAUCUUCGGACCUUGCGCGAUUGAAUGAGCCGAUGUCGGAUUAGCUAGUUUGCGGGGUAAAGGCGAACCAAGGCUACGAUCCGUAGCUGGUCUGAGAGGAUGAUCAGCCACCCUGGAACUGAGGCACGGUCCAGACUCCUACGGGGGGCCGCAGUGGGGAAUAUUGGACGAUGGGCGCAAGCCUGAUCCAGCCCUACCGCGUGGGUGAAGAAGGCCUUCGGGUUGUAGAGCCCUUUUGUUGGUAGAGAAAAGCAGCAGGUUAAUACCCCGCUGUUCUGACGGUACCCAAAGAAUAAGCACCGGCUAACUUCGUG
rnacentral:rRNA from 1 species